UAUCUUAUAUAUUUUUUGCUGUCCAGCAAUAGAAAGGUUAGUGAGGUGUCGAAAAUGAUGGCAAAUGGAGCAUUAAAGCAAACUUGUUUAGCAACUGCAGGAUGUCCUAAUAAGGCUAUUCCUUCUGCCAAAGAAAAAAAUAUAUGGAUCCAUGUAAUAGAGUGAAGGAUUAUACUAUGCAUCUUAGUGAUUUAAGUCUGCAGUUUUUUUCCAAUAGGAAGGCAACUUUCUUCUCGAGUUUCCAAUCAGAAGAAAGUUGCCUUCCUAUUGGAGUUGCAAAGGAGCUCAAAGAUCCCCAACAAAGGUUUCCCAUGUUUGUUACCCGCCAAAUGGUUUAAGCAUAUACAUUUGUUCAAAACACAUGUCGUAAGAAUUACAAUUCAAGAGUUGUAUACGCAGUUGGUACGUGAUACUAUAUACACAGAAUUUCCAGAAAAUAAAGAAGAUCUCUUUCUGAUCAUAUGACAAAAAUUGGCACUAUUGAUGACCUGUUUUUCCUGUAAACUCUGGAGAUAGCGGCGAUAAGGUUGCAACCUCAAGCAAGGGUAAAUCACCGAAAUUAUAGAUUUCUUCGUAAUCACUAAGAGCUUGUGCUAAAACUCUCAGGUAAAUCUGCACAUGUUCCUUGUAAUUUACUAAUCUGUAUGGAUUAUAUUAGAUUAUUAGUAGGUUCUUGUUUAUAAUUACUGUGCUUAAUCAGACCAGGUAGUGAAUUUUGAAUUCUGAAUCAAAUAAUAGUUCACAACAGUCCUUUCCUACCUGUCACUUUCCCUGGAUAAGUAUGUAUAUGAGGCAAUUUGUCAGAAGUUGUAGUUAACACUCUUUCAUUUGUCACCAAUAGCCAGCUAGAUUAAAGGUUUAUUCUUGAGAAUAUGCUUAUCUUGUAAAAAUAUCCUCAAAUAUAUACUCACAUUGCAGACUAUGCUUCUGAAGGCUUUUUUGCCCAGACUCUUUUCUUUACAGGAGGCAUAAUAUUUUGCAUAUAUGGAUUUGUUUGUUGAUGGUCAUCUAAACAUUUUUUCGGGUUUUCGUGUUUGAAGCUGCCUGUAGGAAUUAUGGUUAGAUGAUCAUCAGCAAACACGUUCAUCUAUCCAUAUUCAACCAUCCGCUUAACUUGUUUCCAUUACUUGGAUCUAGUGAUCCACUUGAGAUCUGCUGCUUCUAAUGAUCUAGCAGAAAUCACUUAAUUUGUGAUGUUUUAGCACUUGGCUGCUUUCCUUGAUAUUUUUAAGAUGUCUUGGUUUUCUGCUAUCAAGGAAGUCUUUUUUUCUGGUUGGUUAGUUGAUUAAUGUAGAAGUUUUGUGUACAUGUGAAUAUAAUGAAACAGAUGGUAAAUACAUUUGUGAUUGUUA